rnacentral:rRNA from 1 species
GAUGAACGCUGGCGGCGUGCCUAAUACAUGCAAGUCGAGCGAACGGACGAGAAGCUUGCUUCUCUGAUGUUAGCGGCGGACGUGUGAGUAACACGUGUAUAACCUACCUAUAAGACUGGGAUAACUUCGGGAAACCGGAUCUAAUACCGGAUGAUAUUUUGAUCCGCAUGGUUCAAUAGUGUUAGUCGGUUUUGCUGUCACUUCUAGAUGGAUCCGCGCUGCAUUAGCUAGUUGGUAAGGUAACGGCUUACCAAGGCAACGAUGCGUAGCCGACCUGAGAGGGUGAUCGGCGAAACUGGAACUGAGACACGGAACAGACGACUACGGGAGGCAGCAGUAGGGAAUAUUACGCAAUGGGCGAAAGGAUGACGGAGGAACGCCGAGUGAGUGAUGAAGGUCUUCGGAUCGUAAAACUCUGUUAGUAGGGAAGAACAAAUGUGUAAGAAAAUGUGCACAGCUUGACGGUAACGAAAAAGAAAGCAACGGCUAACUACGUG